rnacentral:rRNA from 1 species
AGAGUUUGAUCAUGGCUCAGGACGAACGCUGGCGGCGUGCUUAACACAUGCAAGUCGAACGGUAAGGCCUUCGGGUACACGAGUGGCGAACGGGUGAGUAACACGUGGGUGAUCUGCCCUGCACUUCGGGAUAAGCCUGGGAAACUGGGUCUAAUACCGGAUAGGACCACGGUCUGCAUGGAUUGUGGUGGAAAGCUUUUGCGGUGUGGGAUGGGCCCGCGGCCUAUCAGCUUGUUGGUGGGGUGAUGGCCUACCAAGGCGACGACGGGUAGCCGGCCUGAGAGGGUGUCCGGCCACACUGGGACUGAGAUACGGCCCAGACUCCUACGGGAGGCAGCAGUGGGGAAUAUUGCACAAUGGGCGCAAGCCUGAUGCAGCGACGCCGCGUGGGGGAUGACGGCCUUCGGGUUGUAAACCUCUUUCAGCAUCGACGAAGCGCAAGUGACGGUAGAUGCAGAAGAAGCACCGGCCACUUACGUGCCAGCAGCCGCGGUA